rnacentral:rRNA from 1 species
UACCCAGACUCCUACGGGAGGCAGCAGUGGGGAAUAUUGCACAAUGGGCGAAAGCCUGAUGCAGCGACGCCGCGUGAAGGAUGAAGUAUUUCGGUAUGUAAACUUCUAUCAGCAGUGAAUUGACGGUACCUGCAAAGGAAGCACCGGCUAACUCCGUGCCAGCAGCCGCGGUAAUACGGAGGGUGCGAGCGUUAAUCGGAAUUACUGGGCGUAAAGCGCUCGUAGGCGGUAUGUCAAGUCAAGGGUGAAAUCCCCGCGCUCAACGUGGGAACUGCCUUUGAAACUGGCAAACUGGAGUGUGUGAGAGGAUAGUGGAAUUCCAGGUGUAGGAGUGAAAUCCGUAGAUAUCUGGAGGAACAUCAGUGGCGAAGGCGACUAUCUGGCACAUAACUGACGCUGAGGAGCGAAAGCGUGGGUAGCAAACAGGAUUAGAUACCCGAGUA